AAUCGCGGAUCAGCAUGCCGCGGUGAAUACGUUCCCGGGCCUUGUACACACCGCCCGUCACACCAUGGGAGCCGGUAAUACCCGAAGUCAGUAGUCCAACCUCGUGAGGACGCUGCCGAAGGUAGGAUUGGCGACUGGGGUGAAGUCGUAACAAGGUAUC
rnacentral:rRNA from 1 species